rnacentral:tRNA from 1 species
GGCUCAGUAGUACAAUGGUAAAGUACUCGUCGCCGAGCCAGAGGAUCCUGGGUUCGAUCCCCAACAGGGUCG